UACGUAGGGGGCAAGCGUUGUCCGGAUUUAUUGGGCGUAAAGAGCGUGUAGGCGGCCGUACAGGUCAGCUGUGAAAACUCGAGGCUCAACCUCGAGACGUCGGUUGAAACCGUACGGCUAGAGUCCAAGAGGAGAGUGGAAUUCCCGGUGUAGCGGUGAAAUGCGCAGAUAUCGGGAAGAACACCCGUGGCGAAGGCGGCUCUCUGGGACGGUACUGACGCUGAGACGCGAAAGCGUGGGGAGCGAACAGG
rnacentral:rRNA from 1 species